rnacentral:misc_RNA from 1 species
GGAAAUUUGUUCCGAUAAACACUGAUUGUUUAUUUAAGUUGAUUACACAUAUCUAACUGUUUGCUUCUGUAAAUCCGAUUAACGCUUUUUAAACUACAAAUCAAAAUAUAAAUGAAUAACGAAGAAAAACUUGCUUAUUGGCGCAAUGCUAUCAUUGCUUUAGUUCUUAAUAAUGUGGAAAACAAAAUGCCUAUAAAAGAGGAAGACAUGCGCGAAAUUCUGGACAAAGACAAAAUGCUAUUCAGGCAAUGCCUACCACUUGUGAUUCAAUCCUUAAAAAAAGUGUACGGCAUCAUUUUGCAAAAGGUACCCGACACUAAAAAAUACAUAUGCUAUUCCGAACUGAGAGUAUCUUCUACGGUAGAGUAUGAUGAAGAGCAGUGCCGUCAUCUAACACUGCUUUUUAUUAUACUAUCAUAUUUACUAAUGAAAGAUGCCCGCGUAGAUGAAGAUUUAUCAAAAUAUUUUACAGAGCAACUGUUUGACUUCCUUAAAGGAUUACGCAUUAGAAUCGACGAAGAGCAUCCAUAUUUCAAGGAUAAUAUAAAGAAGCUCAUUGGUGAAACGUUUGUGAAGCAGUUGUACCUGAAACGUGAAAAAUCUGAUUCUGAGACCGAUUUAGAAACCAGAUUCUUAUAUUCUUGGGGUUAUCGAGCUACUGUCGAAUUCCCUGCGAAAGACGUCUUGCAACAAACUGCACAGAUACUGGGAAAAGAGCCUCGAGAAUUUGUUGCUGUGUACAAUAAAUACUGUGCAGAGGAAAAUGAGGAAACUAUGGUUGUUGACUAAAAGUAAAGGUCAUUUUAUCAGAAAAGUUUGUGCUAUUGUUCGAAAUUCGUUAUUAACAGGCGUUCAGGAAAUUAUAUGUACAUGUGCAUAAGUACAAACAUAUAUAUGUAUGUACAAUAUUCCAGAUGGUAAAACGUGGAGAGCUUCUAAAUAAACGCUUUUAGGCAGUAUUUUACAGCAAAGCCUUCGAGCUUGUAUUAAAAUAUCUAAGCGCCGUCAUUCGAAGUCAGACCAUUCCAUACAAAAUAAACAUGAGUAAAUAAUCGAA